rnacentral:rRNA from 1 species
CUACGGGAUGCAGCAGUGAGGAAUAUUGCACAAUGGGGGGAACCCUGAUGCAGCAACGCCGCGUGGAGGAUGACGCAUUUCGGUGUGUAAACUCCUUUUAUAUGUCAAGAAAAUGAUGGUAGCAUAUGAAUAAGCACCGGCUAACUCCGUGCCAGCAGCCGCGGUAAUACGGAGGGUGCAAGCGUUACUCGGAAUCACUGGGCGUAAAGGGCGCGUAGGCGGGUUGGAAAGUCAGGUGUGAAAUCCUACAGCUUAACUGUAGAACUGCACUUGAAACUUCUAAUCUAGAGUAUGGGAGGGGGAGAUGGAAUUAGUGGUGUAGGGGUAAAAUCCGUAGAUAUCACUAGGAAUACCUAAAGCGAAGGCGAUCUCCUGGAACAUUACUGACGCUAAGGCGUGAAAGCGUGGGGAGCAAACAGGAUUAGAUACCCUCGUAGUC